GCCAGUGUGACGCAGUGGUUUGAGUGUUGCACUAUGACUCUGGAGACCAGGGUUCAAUUCCCGGCUCAGCCA